UUCCCAUUCAUCGUCGUUGUGAUGUCUGGAUGUGGCCGUAUCCUUUGAGAAGAAAAAACCAAAAAAAGUAUACCCAGUAAUAAAUAUCAGAUCCCAGUGGACGUUUCCAUUGUUGAAUCCCAGCAGCGUGCAAAUUCUACGGUUCUUGGUAUUCAAUCCCUGUUUACCCUGAAAGUCUGACAGCCGUUGCUCUCAUCCAUUCAGGUUCCCAGUUGAUUGAAUAGGGGCAGCUGUAGCACC
rnacentral:lncRNA from 1 species